rnacentral:rRNA from 1 species
AUUGAACGCUGGCGGCAUGCUUUACACAUGCAAGUCGAACGGUAACAGGCCUUCGGGCGCUGACGAGUGGCGAACGGGUGAGUAAUGCAUCGGAACGUGCCCAGUCGUGGGGGAUAACUAUCCGAAAGGAUAGCUAAUACCGCAUACGAUCUGCGGAUGAAAGCGGGGGACCUUCGGGCCUCGCGCGACUGGAGCGGCCGAUGUCAGAUUAGGUAGUUGGUGGGGUAAAGGCUCACCAAGCCAACGAUCUGUAGCUGGUCUGAGAGGACGACCAGCCACACUGGGACUGAGACACGGCCCAGACUCCUACGGGAGGCAGCAGUGGGGAAUUUUGGACAAUGGGCGCAAGCCUGAUCCAGCAAUGCCGCGUGCAGGAAGAAGGCCUUCGGGUUGUAAACUGCUUUUGUACGGAACGAAAUGGCUCUGGUUAAUACCCGGGGCUAAUGACGGUACCGUAAGAAUAAGCACCAGCUAACUACGUGCCAGCAGCCGCGGUAACAC